rnacentral:rRNA from 1 species
GACGAACGCUGGCGGCGUGCUUAACACAUGCAAGUCGAACGGAAAGGCCCUGCUUUUGUGGGGUGCUCGAGUGGCGAACGGGUGAGUAACACGUGAGUAACCUGCCCUUGACUUUGGGAUAACUUCAGGAAACUGGGGCUAAUACCGGAUAGGAGCUCCUGCUGCAUGGUGGGGGUUGGAAAGUUUCGGCGGUUGGGGAUGGACUCGCGGCUUAUCAGCUUGUUGGUGGGGUAGUGGCUUACCAAGGCUUUGACGGGUAGCCGGCCUGAGAGGGUGACCGGCCAAAUUGGGACUGGGAUACGGCCCAGACUCCUACGGGAGGCAGCAGUGGGGAAUAUUGCACAAUGGGCGGAAGCCUGAUGCAGCAACGCCGCGUGCGGGAUGACGGCCUUCGGGUUGUAAACCGCUUUCGCCUGUGGCGAAGCGUGAGUGACGGUAAUGGGUAAAGAAGCACCGGCUAACUACGUG